rnacentral:rRNA from 1 species
AUUGAAUGCUGGCGGCAGGCUUAACACAUGCAAGUCGAGCGGAGAUGAGGUGCUUGCACCUUAUCUUAGCGGCGGACGGGUGAGUAAUGCUUAGGAAUCUGCCUAUUAGUGGGGGACAACAUUCCGAAAGGAAUGCUAAUACCGCAUACGCCCUACGGGGGAAAGCAGGGGAUCUUCGGACCUUGCGCUAAUAGAUGAGCCUAAGUCGGAUUAGCUAGAUGGUGGGGUAAAGGCCUACCAAGGCGACGAUCGGUAGCGCGUCUGAGAGGAUGACCCGCCACACUGGGACAGAGACACGGCCCAGACGCCUACGGGCGGCAGCAGUGGGGAAGAUUGGACAAUGGGCGGAAGCCUGAUCCAGCCAUGCCGCGUGUGUGAAGAAGGCCUUUUGGUUGUAAAGCACUUUAAGCGAGGAGGAGGCUACCUGGAUUAAUACUCUAGGAUAGUGGACGUUACUCGCAGAAUAAGCACCGGCUAACUCUGUGCCAGCCGCCGCAGUAACAC